rnacentral:rRNA from 1 species
AUGAUUGGUUACAAUAUUCUUUACCUUUGGACCAAGAGCAUGAAGAUGACGAUGAAGGUAACAAUGAUGAAGAAGCAAAUAACAGUGAAAGUGAAUCUGAUGGUGAGCAUGAAGAUGAUGAUGAAGGUAACAAUGAAGGUGAAGCAAAUCGCAAUGAGACUGAAUCUGAUGGUGAGCAUGAAUUUGACUGCAACAGUGAUGAGAAUGGAAGUUAUGCAAAUGAAGAUUACACAGAGUGCAAUAGUGAUCAAAAUGAAACUGAUGCAGAGGAAGAAUACAUGGAAGAAAAUACAUUAUCGUCUGAUCAGUUGCUUGAGGAUCAACAACACUCAAAACUGCAACAGUUGGAACAAAGUUGGAAUCAUGACGAUUCAGUGUUUGAGGGACAAAUGA